rnacentral:rRNA from 1 species
AGAGUUUGAUCCUGGCUCAGGAUGAACGCUAGCGACAGGCCUAACACAUGCAAGUCGAGGGGCAGCACAUGAGUAGCAAUACGAUGGUGGCGACCGGCGCACGGGUGAGUAACACGUAUGCAACCUGCCUUCUACUAUGGGAUAACCCGUUGAAAGACGGACUAAUACCGUAUAAUACAGGGGCUCCGCAUGGAGAUAUUUGUUAAAGAUUUAUUGGUAGAAGAUGGGCAUGCGUAUGAUUAGAUAGUUGGUGAGGUAACGGCUCACCAAGUCAACGAUCAUUAGGGGUUCUGAGAGGAAGGUCCCCCACACUGGUACUGAGACACGGACCAGACUCCUACGGGAGGCAGCAGUGAGGAAUAUUGGUCAAUGGACGAGAGUCUGAACCAGCCAAGUCGCGUGAAGGAAGACGGUUCUAUGAAUUGUAAACUUCUUUUGUGCAGGAAUAAAGUGGGUUACGUGUAACCUUUUGUAUGUACUGUACGAAUAAGGAUCGGCUAACUCCGUGCCAGCAGCCGCGGUAAUACGGAGGAUCCGAGCGUUAUCCGGAUUUAUUGGGUUUAAAGGGUGCGUAGGUGGAUUGAUAAGUCAGCGGUGAAAGUUUGCAGCUUAACUGUAAAAUUGCCGUUGAAACUGUCGGUCUUGAGUGCAAAUGAGGUAGGCGGAAUGUGUUGUGUAGCGGUGAAAUGCUUAGAUAUAACACAGAACUCCGAUUGCGAAGGCAGCUUACUGGGAUGCAACUGACACUGAUGCACGAAAGCGUGGGUAUCAAACAGGAUUAGAUAC